UACAGAGGGGGCAAGCGUUGUUCGGAAUUACUGGGCGUAAAGGGCGCGUAGGCGGCCGACUAAGUCAGACGUGAAAUCCCCAGGCUCAACCUGGGAACUGCGUCUGAUACUGGACGGCUCGAGUUCGGGAGAGGGAAGUGGAAUUCCAGGUGUAGCGGUGAAAUGCGUAGAUAUCUGGAGGAACACCGGUGGCGAAGGCGGCUUCCUGGACCGACACUGACGCUGAGGCGCGAAAGCCAGGGGAGCAAACGGGAUUGAGAGUACCCCAG
rnacentral:rRNA from 1 species